rnacentral:rRNA from 1 species
UACGUAGGGCGCAAGCGUUAUCCGGAAUUAUUGGGCGUAAAGGGUGCGUAGGCGGUUUGGUAAGUCUUAUGUGAAAUCUACAGGCUCAACUUGUAGUCUGCAUGAGAAACUGCCGGGCUUGAGUAUGGGAGAGGUGAGUGGAAUUCCUGGUGCAGCGGCGAAAUGCGUAGAUAUCAGGAGGAACACCGGUGGUGUAAACGGCUUUCUGGACCAUAACUGACGCUGAGGCACGAAAGCGUGGGUAGCAAACAGG